GCGCGGGAUAGAGUAAUUGGUAACUCGUCAGGCUCAUAAUCUGAAUGUUGUGUAGGUUCGAAUCCUACUCCCGCCA
rnacentral:tRNA from 2 species